AGAGUUUGAUUAUGGCUCAGAACGAACGCUGGCGGCGCGUUUUAAGCAUGCAAGUCGAGCGGCAAGGGCCUUCGGGCCCCUAGAGCGGCGGACGGGUGAGUAACACGUGGACAAUCUGCCCCCCGGCCGGGGAUAGCCCAGGGAAACCUGGAUUAAUACCGGAUGAGACGGGACCCGCGGAGGCGGGAUCCGGGAAAGGCGCUGCGGCGCCGCCGGGGGAUGAGUCUGCGUCCCAUUAGCUUGACGGCGGGGUAACGGCCCACCGUGGCGACGAUGGGUAGCCGGCCUGAGAGGGUGUACGGCCACAUUGGAACUGAGACACGGUCCAGACUCCUACGGGAGGCAGCAGCUAAGAAUCUUCCGCAAUGGGCGAAAGCCUGACGGAGCGACGCCGCGUGAACGAAGAAGGCCGUGAGGUUGUAAAGUUCUUUUCGGGAGGGGGAACAACCGUGGCAGGGAAUGGCCGCGGGAUGACGUGAAUCCCGGAAUAAGCCCCGGCUAACUACGUGCCAGCAGCCGCGGUAACACGUAGGGGGCGAGCGUUGUUCGGAAUCAUUGGGCGUAAAGGGCGUGCAGGCGGUCCUGCAAGUCCGGCGUGGAAGACCCCGGCCCAACCGGGGGGGCGCGCUGGAAACUGCAGGGCUUGAGUACAGGAGGGGAUGCCGGAAUUCCAGGUGUAGGGGUGAAACCUGUAGAUAUCUGGAGGAACACCAAUGGCGAAGGCAGGCAUCUGGCCAUGUACUGACGCUGAGACGCGAAGGUGCGGGGAGCAAACAGGAUUAGAUACCCUGGUAGUC
rnacentral:rRNA from 1 species